rnacentral:rRNA from 1 species
GACGUUUAGCUGCAGAAGAAGCACCGGCUAACUCCGUGCCAGCAGCCGCGGUAAUACGGAGGGUGCGAGCGUUAAUCGGAAUUACUGGGCGUAAAGCGCAUGCAGGUGGUUGUUAAGUUCAGAUGUGAAAGACCGGGCGUCAACCUCGGAAUUGCAUUUGAAACUAGGCAGACUAGAGUACUGUAGAGGGGGGUAGGAAGUUUCAGGUGUAGCGGUGAAAUAGCGUAGAGAUCUGAAGGAAUACCGGUGGCGAAGGCGGCCCCUCGGACAGAUACUGACACUCAGAUGCGAAAGCGUGGGGAGCAAACAGGAUUAGAUACCCUGGUAG